GGGGUCGACUGGUUUUGACAGCGAGAUUAAUUAAACGGUAAGCACGUCGAGUAAUGAUUUUGAACUCGUUAAACGCUAAGUCAACUUUUUAAUCGGCGAGAAUAACUACGCUUUAGCUGCCUAAUCUGAAUUAUAGUAGGAUUAAGCCUCGGCUCACAAGGUGAGCAAGCUUUAUGUCUCCGGAAAGCCUUGAUUGACGGCGUUCCAUUUUGAGGCAUCGAAAAUGUCAAUAUAGAUUAAGUAGCGCUUUGAUGCUUUUUCGAAACUAAAAAAGAUAAGUUAAAAGUGGGUUGUCUUUAACCAGCUUUUAAUCGAAAACCUAAGAAAAGAAUAAACGUGUAGAAAGCCCUUUGGUUACUUGUUUGGACGAGAGUUCGAUUCUCUCCGACUCCACAA
rnacentral:tmRNA from 1 species